GAUGAACGCUAGAGGCAGGCUUAAUACACGCAAGUCGUGGGGCAGCAUGAGUAGCAAUACUUGAUGGCGACCGGCAAACGGGUGCGGAACACGUACACAACCUUCCGAUAAGUGGGGAAUAGCCCAGAGAAAUUGGGAUUAAUAACCCGUAACAUAUAGAGUAGGCAACUUCUUUAUAUUAUAGCUUCGGCGCUUAUUGAUGGGUGUGCGUCUGAUUAGGUAGUUGGCGGGGUAACGGCCCACCAAGCCUACGAUCAGUAGCUGAUGUGAGAGCAUGAUCAGCCACACGGGCACUGAGACACGGGCCCGACUCCUACGGGAGGCAGCAGUAAGGAAUAUUGGACAAUGGGCGAAAGCCUGAUCCAGCCAUGCCGCGUGAAGGAUUAAGGUCCUCUGGAUUGUAAACUUCUUUUAUUUGGGACGAAAAAAGGGAAUUCUUUCCCACUUGACGGUACCAAGUGAAUAAGCACCGGCUAACUCCGUGCCAGCAGCCGCCGCAGUAA
rnacentral:rRNA from 1 species